rnacentral:lncRNA from 1 species
GGCUAUACAUGCCAAGGGACCCCGUUUUGCCUUCCUUCCUGUUUCUUUACUUUUUUUAAUUGGUUAUUUUAUUUACAUUUCAAAUGUUAUCCCCCUUUCCCAGUUUCCCCUCUGGAAACCCCCUAUCCCACCCCCUCCCUCCUUCUGCUGUUUCUAAUGGCAUGUAUCCCCGCCCUCACCCUGGAGGUGAGAAAACUGAGCUGAGAUUUGAACACGAGUCCCUGACUCUAGAAUCUGUGCUCGUAAGCAGUCCCAGGAAAUGUUCUUCAGUUUAGCAUUUCUUUCUUGCUAUCUGACUAAUUGCAAAGAACUCAUUAAAAAAAAAAAAAGUCGAAAAAUGCUUAAGGAAGAAGGAGAGAUUUGCACACGGUCCCCAGAUAAACCUGCGACAGUACUUUGGCUUUUCUUUCAUGUUUUACCGUCAUCUGUAUUCCCGCAGCCCAUACCUGGAUGUUAGAUAACUGGAGUUACCAUGCCAACUCACCGCAGUUUUGGUCCACCCUUUAAACACACACACGAGCUGUUGUCCUUGAGUCGAUGGUGAGAGCUCCGUCCAUUCAUGUUGUCCACACACUUUACUUUGUGUCUUCCAGUGAACUGUAAGACCUCCCAGGCUACAGGUAUUUACCUCCCUUCCCAUCAGGGCUACAAACAUUUUCAUCCAGCCACCAGCCACGUACUGGCUUUAACCAGGCCAGCUCUGAAAACAGUAGGCUGGAGAGAAGGCUCAACAGUUAAGAGCACCCACCCUUGCACCAGACCCACUUUGGGCAGCUCAUAGCCACUGUCACUCCAGCUCCAAGGGAUUCAGCACCCUCUUCUGGCCUCUACUUGCAUUGCAUGCACAUAGACACAGACACAUAAUUUAAGAACAGUGAUUUCUUUCUUUUUUUCUUUUUUUGCAAAUUAUGUGUAUAGUGUGUAUGUAUAUGUAUGUAUCUGUGUGUAUCUGUGUCUGUGUGUAGGUCUCAGGAUGGUUGUCUUUCUCAAUCUCCUCCAUAUAUACUAGGACAAAGUCUUUCAGUUGACCUUAGACCCUAGACUUGUCUGCAUGGCUGUCUAACUAGCUAGCUUUCUCUGGAGAGCCCCUGAUUCUGCCUCCAAAGUACUAGAAUUAUAGGCAGGCAUGAUACCCAUAUCAUUAUGAGACUUCUAAGGCUCUUUUUCCCACCUCCCUGGCUCAUAUUUCUGUACAUGAAUAUUUCUGUCAUUCUCUAAUAGAUUUUACUUAUCUGGACCCCCCCUCUCUCCCAUAGAAAAAUAUAUGUGGUUAUUUAAAUAUUGCAAUGGACCCAUAAUAAAAACUUCAAAUAGCAUAAAAAUGUAUAAAAAUGAAGGUAAACAUCUUUGUGUGUAUGCAUGUGUGCAUAUCAGUGUGAAAAUAGUGCAUAUCAGUGUGAAAAUAGUGCAUAUCAGUGUGAAAAGCUGCAUCCACACUCAUAAGGGGAACUCCGAUUGGACUCAGUGUGUGUGUACAUGUUCACAUGUGUGUGCAUGUGCAUGCGUUUAUGCAGGCGUGUGCUUGUGUGUGUGCAUGUGUGUGAGGGGUAAAUUUGCAGCCACCUAAUUUUUCUUAUAUGUUUAAUAUAUACUUAAUUCCAUUUUUAACUUCUUGUAUAUGACGUGACUUUGGCAACACCUUUAUUUCCUUUCAAAUAACUAACAAGUUGUCCAUCACAUCUUGAACUAUGCAUCCUUUCUCGCUGAACUAAAAUAUUACAUUUGCUAAAACUAUUAAAGCCACAAAUCUAAUGAGAACUAAUUCUAAACAGUCUACGCUGUUAUACUUGGCUUCCUUUGUAAGUCCUGAGGGAUUGAACCCAGGACCUUAUGCAAGCUCGAUAAGUACCAGGCUGUUAAGCCACAUCCCCAACUCGUGACUCUUGUUUAUUCUUAUGCCAGAAACUGCUUCUUCCAAGUAGAAGGUGAGGAUUCACUUCCAAAGUUGGCCUGUGACAUCCACAUGUGCACACCCUCCUCUCUCUCUCUCUCUCUCUUUCUCUCUCUCUCUCUCUCUCUCUCUCUCUCUCUCUCACACACACACACAUCACUGGGAGCCAUGUAUGGUUGACAUACCUGUAUUCCCAACACCUGGAGGGCUGAGGCUG